CCUACGGGCGGCAGCAGUGGGGAAUAUUGCGCAAUGGGCGAAAGCCUGACGCAGCGACGCCGCGUGAGGGAUGAAGGUCUUCGGAUCGUAAACCUCUGUCAGCAGGGAAGAACGGUCACUGUGCUAAUCAGCAGUGAAUUGACGGUACCUGCAAAGGAAGCACCGGCUAACUCCGUGCCAGCAGCCGCGGUAAUACGGAGGGUGCGAGCGUUAAUCGGAAUUACUGGGCGUAAAGCGCUCGUAGGCGGUAUGUCAAGUCAAGGGUGAAAUCCCCGCGCACAACGUGGGAACUGCCUUUGAAACGGGCAAACUGGAGUGUGUGAGAGGAUAGGGGAAUUCCAGGUGUAGAGUGAAAGCCGUAGAUAUCUGGAGGAACAUCAGUGGCGAAGGCGACUAUCUGGCACAUAACUGACGCUGAGGAGCGAAAGCGUGGGUAGCAAACAGGAUUAGAUACCCCUGUAGUC
rnacentral:rRNA from 1 species